rnacentral:rRNA from 1 species
CCUACGGGUGGCUGCAGUGGGGGAUAUUGCACAAUGGGGGGAACCCUGAUGCAGCGACGCCGCGUGGGUGAAGAAGCGCCUCGGCGCGUAAAGCCCUGUCAGCAGGGAAGAAAAUGACGGUACCUGCAGAAGAAGCCCCGGCUAAAUACGUGCCAGCAGCCGCGGUAAUACGUAGGGGGCAAGCGUUAUCCGGAUUUACUGGGUGUAAGGGGGGCGCAGACGGCGAUGCAAGCCAGUAGUGAAAGCCCGGGGCCCAAACCCGGGACUGCGCUGGGAACUGCGUGUCUGGAGUGCAGGAGGGGCAGGCGGAAGUCCUGGUGUAGCGGUGAAAUGCGUAGAUAUCAGGAGGAACACCAGUGGCGAAGGCGACCUGCUGGACUGCAACUGACGUUGAGGCCCGAAAGCGUGGGGAGCAAACAGGAUUAGAUACCCGGGUAGUC